GAGAAUAUGUCUGCCUCAGUUCCGUCUCCUGCAACAAUAUUGAGUCAUAAAGUCCAUGAAGAUGGUCCUGACUUCCACUAGGAUGGACAUUUAUAAAAGAGCUGUUAU